AUGCUUUCACAACUUGACUUCAAAAUAUUUGGUUUGGAGACCAUCAAAGAUCAAUAUGUGCAUGAUGCUGAUUUUAAAGAUGUAUUGCAGAAUUGUAAAGAAGGAAGAACCUGGAACAAGUUUGUCGUUAAUGAUGGAUUUGUGUUCCGUGCUAACAAGCUAUGCAUUCCAGCUAGCUCUCUUCGUCUUUUGUUGUUGCAGGAGGCGCAUGGCGAAGGAUUAAUGGGACACUUUGGCGUGAAGAAGACAGAGGACGUACUUGCUACACAUUUCUUUUGGCCAAAGAUGAGACGGGAUGUUGAGCGUGCUGUUUUGAAGAAUAAUAAGAAAAUGUGGGAAGAAUGCUUGCCUCAUAUUGAGUUUGCUUAUAAUCGUUCAUUGCAUUCUACUACUAAGAUGUGCCCUUUUGAAAUUGUGUAUGGUUUCCUACCUCGUGCACCUAUUGAUUUGUUGCCUCUUCCAUCUUCGGAGAAGGUUAAUUUUGAUGCUAAACAACGUGCUGAAUUGAUCUUAAAAAUGCAUGAGUUAACUAAGGAAAACAUUGAGCGUAUGAAUGCUAAAUAUAAACUUGCUGGAGAUAAGGGUAGAAAACAUGUUGUGUUUGCACCUGGAGAUCUUGUUUGGUUACAUUUGCGUAAGGAUAGAUUUCCUGAUUUGCGCAAAUCAAAGCUAAUGCCACGUGCUGAUGGUCCUUUUAAGGUGUUAGAGAAAAUAAAUGAUAAUGCAUAUAAACUUGAGCUACCUGCAGAUUUUGGGGUUAGUCCCACUUUUAACAUUGCAGAUUUGAAGCCUUAUUUGGGUGAGGAAGAUGAGCUUCCGUCGAGGACGACUUCAUUUCAAGAAGGGGAGGAUGAUGAGGACAUCAAUACCAUUGUUACACCCAUAGGCCCUGCUGCUAUACAUACUGGACCAAUUACUAGAGCUCGCGCACGCCAAUUAAAUUACCAGGAAACAGACCCUCGUGGUCAGGUUGAUCAUGCUCCGGCGUGGUCGAUAACCUCUCGGAGUUGGUUUAGCGAUUGCUAA
rnacentral:rRNA from 1 species